rnacentral:tRNA from 1 species
AUAUUUAUUAGUUUAAAUAUAAAACAUUAUAUUUUCAAUAUAAAAAAAAUUUCAUAAUUAUAAAUAUA